AUUGAACGCUAGCGGGAUGCUUUACACAUGCAAGUCGAACGAGUGGCGGACGGGUGAGUAAUAUAUCGGAAAGAGCCCCGUAGCGGGGGAUAACUAAUAGAAAGAGUGGAUAAUACCGAAUACAAUUGGAGCGGCCGAUAUCGGAUGAGCGAGUUGGUGGGGUAAAGGCGCACCAGGGCGACGAUCCGUAGCUGGUUAGAGAGGAAGACCAGCCACACUGGGCCUGAGAAACGGCCCCGACUCCUACGGGAGGCAGCAGUGGGGAAUUUUGGACAAUGGGGGAAACCCUGAUCCAGCCAUCCCGCGUGUAUGAGAAGGCCUUCGGGUUUUAAAGUACUUUUGGCAGAGAAGCGGUAUCUGCAGAAUAAGCACCGGCUAACUACGUGCCAGCAGCCGCGGUAAUUC
rnacentral:rRNA from 1 species